UAAGGAAUAUUGGUCAAUGGGCGGAAGCCUGAACCAGCCAUCCCGCGUGCAGGAUGAAGGCCCUAUGGGUUGUAAACUGCUUUAGACUGAGAAGAAACCCCUCAAUGCGUUGGGGGCUGACGGUAUCAGUAGAAUAAGCACCGGCUAACUCCGUGCCAGCAGCCGCGGUAAUACGGAGGGUGCAAGCGUUAUCCGGAAUCACUGGGUUUAAAGGGUGCGUAGGCGGCUUGAUAAGUCAGAGGUGAAAGCCCGCAGCUUAACUGCGGAACUGCCUUUGAUACUGUUGAGCUUGAAACAGGACGAGGUUGGCGGAAUGUGGCAUGUAGCGGUGAAAUGCAUAGAUAUGCCAUAGAACACCGAUUGCGAAGGCAGCUGGCUAGACCUGAUUUGACGCUGAGGCACGAAAGCGUGGGGAGCGAACAGG
rnacentral:rRNA from 1 species